rnacentral:rRNA from 1 species
UCGGGAAUUUUGGGCAAUGGGCGAAAGCCUGACCCAGCAACGCCGCGUGAAGGAUGAAAUCCCUCGGGAUGUAAACUUCGCAAGAACGGGAAGAAUAAGUAGGAGUUAACACCUCUUACGAUGACGGUACUGUUUGUAAGCUCCGGCUAACUCCGUGCCAGCAGCCGCGGUAAUACGGGGGGAGCAAGCGUUGUUCGGAUUUACUGGGCGUAAAGGGCGCGUAGGCGGCGAUUGCAAGUCAGUUGUGAAAUCUCCGGGCUUAACCCGGAAAGGUCAACUGAUACUGCAGGGCUAGAGUGCAGAAGGGGCAACUGGAAUUCUCGGUGUAGCGGUGAAAUGCGUAGAUAUCGAGAGGAACACCUGCGGCGAAGGCGGGUUGCUGGGCUGACACUGACGCUGAUGCGCGAAAGCCAGGGGAGCGAACGGGAUUAGAUACCCCGGUAGUCCUGGCCUUAAACGAUGAAUGCUUGGUGUCUGGGGUUUUAUAGUCCCCGGGUGCCGUCGCUAACGCUUUAAGCAUUCCGCCUGGGGAGUACGGUCGCAAGACUGA